UACGUAGGUGGCAAGCGUUAUCCGGAUUUAUUGGGCGUAAAGAGAACGCAGGCGGUCUUUUAAGUCUGAUGUGAAAGCCUUCAGCUUAACCGGAGUAGUGCAUUGGAAACUGGGAGACUUGAGUGCAGAAGAGGAGAGUGGAACUCCAUGUGUAGCGGUGAAAUGCGUAGAUAUAUGGAAGAACACCAGUGGCGAAAGCGGCUCUCUGGUCUGUAACUGACGCUGAGGUUCGAAAGCGUGGGUAGCAAACAGG
rnacentral:rRNA from 1 species